AACUUUUUUGGAAUUUUAUCAAAAUUAAAAAAGAAAUGUCAAAAUUUGCAUUUAUUUUACAUACAAAACAACACACACUACAUUUACUAAGAAUUGAAAAUAUUUUAAUAAGAAACGAUAUAUUUAAUAAAUAAUAUAGUCAAAUUUAGUUAGUAACUUAAUAUUUAGGAGUAAUACGUAUUACCAUAAAAAAUCCAUGUACGAGAUCGAUACUACUUCCCAGUGCACGUAUUGACGUCUUUCAAUAUGUGUUAUAAAUCAUUUAAGAAAUUUCGUGAAAUUACGAUGUGUUUAUCCAAUUUUUAAAUUACAAUUAUUAAAAACUCGGACAUAACUAUAACGGACGUGACUACAUACCGAAUUUAACUAAAUCACGGCUCUUAAAGAAGUUAAACAAUAGAACCGAAAAUAUACUUUACUUGCUUCGACAUUUAUCUCAUCUUUGAAAAAGGAUUCCCAAUGAAACCUUCAUGUGAUGAUAAGUUCUUUGGAACGUUGUUGUUGUAUACGGUUUACAGGUGCUGACAACCAUAUAUGAGGGUAAUACUUGAGUAUUUUACACUUCACAUUGCCAGUUUGUUGGAAGAGAGACUCGGACUGGUAGUACCUGCUUCUUAGGAUGUCAUCGAAUUCAGAGACGGAGUCAAUAGAAAGUUUCGCAGCAAUGUAUGGAUUUUUCUACCAAAUUUUUUAAUAGAAGAGUUGAGAUGAAAGUAAGAGGGGUUCAAAUUUCGUAAAAGUCUUAUUAUUGAUUGACCCUUGAAAACUUCUGAUGAACAGAAAAACUCUUACUUUAAUUGUGUCUCAAAAUUGUCUCCUUCAGUUCAACUGUAGAAGAUGAACUUCUUAACGAUAUAUUGAGUCGUUACAUUUUUUGUCAAAAUAAAAUUUAAAGUUUUGACAAAUUGGA